UACGGAGGGGGCUAGCGUUGUUCGGAAUUACUGGGCGUGAAGCGCACGUAGGCGGCUUUGUAAGUUAGAGGUGAAAGCCCGGGGCUCAACUCCGGAAUUGCCUUUAAGACUGCAUCGCUAGAACGUCGGAGAGGUAAGUGGAAUUCCGAGUGUAGAGGUGAAAUUCGUAGAUAUUCGGAAGAACACCAGUGGCGAAGGCGACUUACUGGACGACUGUUGACGCUGAGGUGCGAAAGCGUGGGGAGCAAACAGG
rnacentral:rRNA from 1 species